GUGGGGAAUUUUGGACAAUGGGCGCAAGCCUGAUCCAGCAAUGCCGCGUGCAGGAAGAAGGCCUUCGGGUUGUAAACUGCUUUUGUACGGAACGAAAAGGCUCUGGUUAAUACCUGGGGCUCAUGACGGUACCGUAAGAAUAAGCACCGGCUAACUACGUGCCAGCAGCCGCGGUAAUACGUAGGGUGCAAGCGUUAAUCGGAAUUACUGGGCGUAAAGCGUGCGCAGGCGGUUUUGUAAGACAGACGUGAAAUCCCCGGGCUCAACCUGGGAAUGGCGUUUGUGACUGCAAAGCUGUAGUGCGGCAGAGGGGGAUGGAAUUCCGCGUGUAGCAGUGAAAUGCGUAGAUAUGCGGAGGAACACCGAUGGCGAAGGCAAUCCCCUGGGCCUGCACUGACGCUCAUGCACGAAAGCGUGGGGAGCAAACAGGAUUAGAAACCCGUGUAGUCC
rnacentral:rRNA from 1 species